rfam:Penicillium antarcticum strain IBT 31811 PENANT_contig020, whole genome shotgun sequence.
GCUCUGGUAGUUCAGUGGUAGAAUACUACUCUUCCAAAGUAGUGGCGGGGGUUCGAUUCCCUCCCAGUGCA